AUAUUGGACAAUGGGCGCAAGCCUGAUCCAGCCAUGCCGCGUGGAUGAUGAAGGCCCUAGGGUUGUAAAGUCCCUUUAACGGGGAAGAUAAUGACGGUACCCGUAGAAUAAGCCCCGGCUAACUUCGUGCCAGCAGCCGCGGUAAUACGAAGGGGGCUAGCGUUGCUCGGAAUUACUGGGCGUAAAGCGCACGUAGGCGGACCGAUAAGUCGGGGGUGAAAUCCUGGAGCUCAACUCCAGAACUGCCUUCGAAACUGCCGGUCUUGAGUUCGGGAGAGGUGAGUGGAACUGCGAGUGUAGAGGUGAAAUUCGUAGAUAUUCGCAAGAACACCAGUGGCGAAGGCGGCUCACUGGCCCGAUACUGACGCUGAGGUGCGAAAGCGUGGGGAGCAAACAGGA
rnacentral:rRNA from 1 species